GACAGAGGGUGCAAACGUUGUUCGGAAUUACUGGGCGUAAAGCGCGUGUAGGCGGCUUGGCAAGUCGGGUGUGAAAGCCCUGGGCUCAACCUAGGAAGUGCACUCGAAACUGCCUCGCUAGAGUGUCGGAGAGGGUAGUGGAAUUCUCGGUGUAGAGGUGAAAUUCGUAGAUAUCGAGAGGAACACCGGUGGCGAAGGCGGCUACCUGGACGACGACUGACGCUGAGACGCGAAAGCGUGGGGAGCAAACAGG
rnacentral:rRNA from 1 species